rnacentral:miRNA from 1 species
UUCGUUGUUUAUGAAACCUGCUU